rfam:Triticum aestivum genome assembly, contig: Triticum_aestivum_CS42_TGACv1_scaffold_570616_7AS
AUAUUACUCCUUCCGCCCGAAAAUACUUGUCAUCAAAAUGAAUAAGAAGGGAUGUAUCUAUAACUAAAAUACGUCUAGAUACACCCAUUUUUAUUCAUUUUGGUGACAAGUAUUUCUGGACGGAGGGAGUACAAG